UACGUAGGGUGCAAGCGUUGCCCGGAUUUAUUGGGCGUAAAGGGCGCGCAGGCGGCUUGUCGCGUCAACUGUGAAAACCCGUGGCUCAACCAUGUGGUCUGCAGUCGAUACGGGCAGGCUAGAAUUCGGUAGGGGAGACUGGAAUUCCUGGUGUAGCGGUGAAAUGCGCAGAUAUCAGGAGGAACACCGAUGGCGAAGGCAGCUCGCUGGGACGGUACUGACGCUGAGGCGCGAAAGCGUGGGGAGCGAACAGG
rnacentral:rRNA from 1 species